rnacentral:rRNA from 1 species
UACGAGGGGGGCGAGCGUUGUUCGGAAUUAUUGGGCGUAAAGGGCGCGUAGGCGGUGCGGUAAGUCACCUGUGAAAUCUCCGGGCUCAACUCGGAGCCUGCAGGCGAAACUGCCGUGCUAGAGGGUGGGAGAGGUGCGUGGAAUUCCCGGUGUAGCGGUGAAAUGCGUAGAGAUCGGGAGGAAGGCCGGUGGCGAAGGCGGCGCUCUGGAACGUUUCUGACGCUGAGGCUCGAAAGCGUGGGGAGCAAACAGG